UCCCGUGUGGCACACUUGGUAGUGCAUGGCACUUGCAAGUCCAGUGUUGUGGGUUCAAUUCCCACGGGGGAU
rfam:Salmo salar isolate Sally breed double haploid chromosome ssa13, whole genome shotgun sequence.